rnacentral:rRNA from 1 species
GACAGAGGUGCCGAGCGUUAGGUGGAAUCACUGGGCUUAAAGCGUGUGUAGGCGGACUUCUAAGUACCUUGUGAAAUCCCACGGCUUAACCGUGGAACUGCUUGGUAUGCUGGUUGUCUUGGGCCAUCUAGGGGCUACUGGAACAAACGGUGGAGCGGUGAAAUGCGCAGAUAUCGGGAGGAACACCAAUGGCGAAGGCAGCUCGCUGGGACGGUACUGACGCUGAGACGCGAAAGCGUGGGGAGCAAACAGG